rnacentral:tRNA from 1 species
GCUCGGUUAGCUCAGUCGGUAGAGCACCAGACUCUUAAUCUGGCUCUGGGUUCGAGCCCCGCAUCAGGCU